AGUUCAAGAGUACGUGAAACCGUUCAGGGGUAAACCUGAGAAACCCAAAAGAUCGAAUGAGGAUAUUCAUCGUCAGCUCACUUUGUAUAUAUGCAAGCUGUGAUAUGGGUUACUACUUGUAGUAUUGCCCGUACANUCUUGUAUAUUUANUNGCAAGGUGUUGUCGGCGUGCACUUUUCCUCUAGUAGGACGUCGCGACCCGUUGAGCGUCUGUCUACGGCCCAAGCGGGAGCUUUCAAUGAAUUUUAUUUAUUGGAAACCCUUGGUGUUUCCUGACANGCACUCGGCGGUAUUCAUAUGGUAUUGAGUCGCAUAUUAUAU
rnacentral:rRNA from 1 species